rnacentral:rRNA from 1 species
GACGAACGCUGGCGGCGUGCUUAACACAUGCAAGUCGAACGGAAAGGCCCCUUUGGGGGUCCUCGAGUGGCGAACGGGUGAGUAACACGUGAGUAACCUGCCCUUGACUUCGGGAUAACUUCAGGAAACUGGGGCUAAUACCGGAUAGGAAUCCUUGCUGCAUGGUGGGGGUUGGAAAGCUUCGGCGGUUUUGGAUGGACUCGCGGCUUAUCAGCUUGUUGGUGGGGUAGUGGCUUACCAAGGCUUUGACGGGUAGCCGGCCUGAGAGGGCGACCGGCCACAUUGGGACUGAGAUACGGCCCAGACUCCUACGGGAGGCAGCAGUGGGGAAUAUUGCACAAGGGGUGGAAGCCUGAUGCAGCAACGCCGCGUGCGGGAUGACGGCCUUCGGGUUGUAAACCGCUUUCAGCAGGGGCGAAGCUUGUGGUGACGGUACCUGCAGAAGAAGCACCGGCUAACUACGUG